GUAAACACUAUUCAAGGUCAGGUUAGACAGAAUGUUUUUUCUGUACUCUGCUACUUUCUAUUAACCUGUGUUGAAAGCUGAGAUAUGGUGUGUCGGUUUUACAGAGGAAUUGCUGCUAUGUGGGCCAAAUGCUACGCUGUGCACAGACACCACCAGAGUCUGCAGGGCCAGCACUGGCAGGAGCACAGCGAUCCUGAGCCCAGGGUUGACCAUGUGAGCUGUGCCUGAGGAGAAGAACUGAGGAAUCUGGGAGAUCCCAGUAACUAUGGACCGUCCUGUACAGAAGGAACAUUAACCUUAGCUGGAAGAAUUUCAGGCCAUGCUUUGUACAGCCGCAGGGUCUACAAACCCCGCGUCCGCACACAGGAGAGAUUGAGGUCCUUCACUCUCAAGCGAUUUGUCUCUUCACACAUCUCAGGCAGUACAGCCCCCUGCUGGAGGUUCAGCGCCGAUUGGGGGAGAGGUGUGUCUUGCUCCAACAGCACUACAAUGACAGCAGGCUCCUGGGAGCUCAUCUCGCCCUCCCCUUGGCAGUGCUCAGUGACAAGGCGAGCACUUUCACUAGU